rnacentral:lncRNA from 1 species
CAGUAACAAAAUCUCUCUCUCUCUCUCUCUCUCUCUCUCUCUCUCUCUCUCUCUCUCUCUCUCUCUCUCUCUGUAUUCUCUUUCGUUCGGAUCUAUUUCGAAGAUACAGAAGCACACGAGGCUAUAUAUUCACAAUCUUGUGUGUACAUGCAAAUGUUUGAUUUAUUGCGGCGGUCUCUAAUUCGCUUGGUGCAGGUCGGGAACUUUCUUCGCCGGUUAUGUCGUUUCAACUUUCACGUGAAUAUUCCAAACGCCAAAAUCGUGCUCAUAUAAAUAUGUAUGGAUUUCUGUAUGUAUAAACAAACUAAUUGAUGUCGUUGUAUUUGGCGAAAAUCAGGUUCCCGCCUUGCACUAAGCAAAUUAGAGACCGCGGUGAAUGUUACAUCGUAAAGGACGGUGUUUCAUCUUAUUCCGGUGGAUCUCUUUAUUGAUUUGGUUCAAUUGUAGGUUUGGAUUUGAUUUGUUUUCAGCUGAAUGCGUUGGAAUGACUCAGAUAAUUUACGACUAUUCUAUUUGAGUGACAGAUCUUUUGGACUUUGCAGGUAUGUGCUUGUUUUAAAGUUUUUUGUUCAAGAAAAAGACAUGAGGAAAAUAUGGAAAUAGGAUGAUUUCUAAUUGGAAUUUUCUGAGAUAAUUAAUUCAUUUUGAGUGGCUGUUUGUGUCUGUUUAUUUAUUGUUUAAAUUCUGAGCUUUUUCCUUUUUAUUUUUAUUUAUUUUUAUUAUUAUUUUUUUUUUUUAACAUAAAAUUAAUCAAGAAGCAAUCAAUUACUAUUAAAAAAAAUUUUUGUGGUGAAAAGUAAUUAUUUUUCUUUCUUUCUGAUUUCCUUUUUUCCUGACAAAUUCAGAGAGCAUUUUGAUUUUCCAUCGGAAUAUUUGAUGGAUCUUAGUAAAAAUGUCAGAAUUUGUGCAAAUAAGUGCUACCAAAUCUAAUUUCCCUCGUAUAUAGUUCUCGACUUAAAAAUUGUGAAUUGUUGGCUUAGACUAUCUCAGCAAAGUUUGCCAGUUAUGCUAGCAGAUAUUUGGGCUUCUCAUUAUUUAACAUUUCUGGAUUCAAGCGAAUAGAUACAGGGGCGUGUGAGUUGAAUUUUGAAUUUUAUGUUUACAUGGUUAAAAAAUUCAACGUUUCGUGGAAAAUAUCCAUUUGCUAGGACAUGGAAAAGAAACACUGAUACCUCUGAAGCCAUAACAUAUUCAAUUUGUAUGCCCUCGUCAAUGUGAUUGAAAGUUAUCACAUAAGCAUAUUUCUUACAAGUGCAUUGAAUUAUGUCUAUUAUUUUUUUGUUUAUAGUGUAUUCUGGAAAGUUGACAAACAGUUUUCACUUCUCCUUCUGCCAAAGACAAAUUGUUGAACACGCUUAUGUUUUUUAUUGAUGCUUAGGAUGUGGUCUUUUAUUGCACACAGGCUUGUUUUGGACUUCCUUUACAUAAAGGAAAUUCCUGAUUUGACUCUAGAAGGGAAUAGAAAGAAGGGAAAGAAAGUCUCCUUACAAUAUUAUGUUCAUUUAUUUCGUUUUAGUAGUGAUUUCUGAAAAAAUUAAUUUAUUUAUGCAUGUGUAUAUGCUUUACAAGUCUAAUUUAUAAAAAUAUUUGGGCUCAUGGAUCAAUUAAUUCAUUACAUAAACCUGAAAGCACACAUAGUUAGGAUUCAAUUUUUUCCCUUUUUGCUGACAAUUAACUCGAUACAGAAAAUUUUCACCUUGCUUAAGGUUUCUUUAUCUGUUCAUUCUUUUCUAAAUUGUGCUUUAUGUUUUUUCUUUGUUAUUUUUUUUUAUGACAACUGUUUAACAUUCAAAAUUUUGGUCAUUGGAACUAACGAGCUCUAAAAAAAUUCUCUAGAGUAUAUCUGAAUGCAAAUUCAUAAUUCAUGGAAUUCGUUCUUGACGAAACUUUGGGCUAAAAUUACUUCAAAAGUUUUAAGAGUUUUCUGGUCUUUAUGCUUCUUCAAAAGUUAAGGCUGUGGUUCUCAAUACUUACCCAUUUUAUAUCUCAUCAAAGAUACAAAUUAUAAUUCUUCUGCAUCAUUGUAUGAUCUACAUACAGCCAUUAUUAAAUUCAAUUUACACUUCAAAUUAUACUUAAGUCAAUUGAAUAAGAAAUUAUACUCAUGCAACCUUAUUUUCGCACAUAUUGUGUCCAUUUUUAAUUAUUGCCCUUGUUUGAGCCCCAUUUUUGUGAAGAAAAUGAAUUUUUGAAUAGUGUAUUGAUGGAAAAUGUGUGGUUAAAAAAUAAGGAAAAGUUUUUGAUUUGCGUACAAUAUUAUUUUAUUGAAGAAUGUAUGGUUGAAAUGAUGUCAAAUCACUGUUGAAUAAUGUAUUUUAGUUGAAAAAUGGGGCUCAAACAAGGGCAUUCAUCUUAUGCUACUCCUGCAUCUUGAGAAAUGACAUUUCAUGAAUUUUGGAUCCUUGUAUGACGAAUUUUUUUCUUAGGAUUUUAUCAUUUUAUUGUCUGGGUACCUUGUUUGCUUUGGGUUAUGCACAGAUUUAUGCAUGAUGAGUGGGUGAGAACAUGUAUUUCAAUCAAAUGCAUAAUAUUUUUCAAUCUGCAGUUGACACGUCUUUAUCAUCUCUGACUUGUCUGAAAUGUGUGCCAUGUUUAUUCUAUGUCCUGGAAUCUCAUAAUUGGAAAGUUAAAGUAAGAUGCACCUCCUUCCAAUGCAAUGUCUGUUUGUGUCUACCGUCUGUUGGCAUUGCAGCAUUAUCGGAACGUUAAUUCAAUCAAAACAUUUGUGUUAUAGCAUUCGGUAUGUUUGAACUGUCUUUCACAUUUGAUUUAUGCUGACUAAUUUGUUGGUGGCUUGUAUUUGAUUCCAGUUUAUAUGGUGGGCUAGAGCGAAGUUUGGGCUGUAUUGCCAUGAUGUCCUUGGAUUGAUCAUGUUGGGUCAAUAUUUUGGACCUCUUGACUUUCAAGCAAAAGGUCAGAAUGACAUUGCUUGAAUAGAUUGUCUAUUUGCUGACUUUGUGUGUUUCUUCAUUUUCAUCUAUAAGUUUCUUAUUCAUGGACUAUGUGGGACACAUUCCUAUGGAAGUAGCAAUUUUAAUGCCAGAAGUGUGUUACUCAUGGAUUAUGUGGGAUCUUCAACUAGAUAAGCAACAACGGUAGGGCUUAAAUGCAUUAUGUUUUUAUUUGUUGAAAUCUUUUUUCUUUCCAUCUUUUUGGAUAAGGAUUUUUAUAUCUAACAUUUUGUUAUUCAUACUUGUCGGUAUUAGGUUUUGUCUUCAAGCCACAAAAUCUUCUAUCUUUCCAUGGUGUGCGACUUAUAUAAGUAGACAUGACUUUGGACAUGGCUUGCUCACAAAAGAAGGUAAAAUAUUACGCUGAUAGAUUGAUGAAUAAAAGCAUUUGAGAUACGACUGUUUAGAGUCUUUUUAAAUGGCAAAGACAAUACAUAUGCAGCAAUUUUGAUAUGUAAGUGCAAUUAUAUUUCAUUAUGUUAUGUUAUUCAUAAUAAUUCAGUAUGAUCAAAAAGUUAUAUCUGCUGCAUUAAUGAGCAUGAAAUCAUAUAUAUGAUAGUUUUCCAUGCCUUCUACUAACCCUAAUAACCAGAAAUAGCUACCAUUCUAAGUUAAAUAUGCCUCUUCUUGCCACUUGGUACAACUACAUUAUGUCUAGCUCCAACGGAAUAAAAUCUUUUGUGACCACCUCAAGCGAUGUUAAUUUUCACGUACCUCUUCCUAUUCUAAGUAAUUUUAUGGAGAUCAUGUUUCUUGUGAACUUUCUCUAGGUCUAUUAAGAUACGCCUCAACUAUCAAAUCUGUCAUUUCUUUAAUUUAUCCUAAAUGAUUUGAUUAACCUCCAUUAGUUGGAGUAUAUUCUUAAUAUACAGCUAUGGACUUGUUGUAAUUAGGCAACACAGUAUUGUAAAGCCUAGUUCGUUUGACAACUUACCAUUUAAAUUGGUAGGCAUCUUUUGCUACCGUAGAAUCCUUGUCAUUUCAAUUUACCUUGUUCAUUACAUUUUUAGGUUAGGCAUGGGUACUGAAUUUGCUCUAAUUACCUGUAUUUAUUCGGGAUUUUGUGAAAUUGUUUUUUGAUUUAUGAUUGUGUAAGUUACUGGCAAUAAUAUUAAGGCUGCAGAAUUUUAUUUAUUAUUCCACGUCAAGGCUAUUGUUUGGGGCACUCUGUAUGUGACUAUUUUUUUGCAUUAAGUUUAGCAUUUUCUGUCAAGAGGUUCGAGCAUAUGUGCCCAACUGCAUCCUUCUCUCGUCCCCUCACUAUACUUUGUGUUUUCAAUUCUAUAUGUAUUGUUAUUUCCUUCAUUCAAGAUCUAUCUGGUAAAUGGCCAUUGCAGAAUUUCAAAUUAUAUUGCAGUGUGCUUAUGUGGUAGUGAAAUCAAUCACUCUGCUCCAUGAGUAUUAAUCUUGCUUCUUAUAGAGAUGUCUUUUUCGUGGAGUAUGUUCAGGUGAUUUAGCGAGUUUUUUUCUGUACGCCAAACUCAGGGUCAUUGAUUUCUUUGUUUUCACCUGAUUUAUCUCCUGGCCCCAAUUUUAUCUGGUCCUUUUUGGUUGAGUUAACAUGAAUUAUCUAUUUGUGGUGUAAUAUAUGCAUAGUUGUACUUUACCUAGAGUAUUUAAUGAAAAUUAACUCCCCCAUCCUAAUUUUAGAAGAGUUUCUAGGAGGAAAAUCAUAAUAUAUUUUAGAUGAAGCGGUAUGACACUUGAGUAAAUGCUGGGAAAUCGUUUUGCAAUUACAGUAAUCUCCUUUUAGAUAAGAUACAGAUUACCUUAGAUAUACCAAAUCCACUUCCCACCUAGUAAAUCUAUCCAUGCAGGCCUGUUUAUUACUUUCCCCUCUGUUUCAGAAACACCUGGAUAAAAUUGUACAUGCCGCGUGCCUAUAACCAUGUCCACAUGUAACAAUUAGUUCCUCCCGUUGGUGGCACAGUUUGCAACAGCUGGCAGUGCCAGUGACACAUGGUACCAUAUAGUAUAUCUUUUCUAGCUAUAUAUUCCCACCGAUUCUCUUCUAUAAAUAUGAAAGGGUCUUUUCUCUCCCCCAUCACACCUUUCUCCAUCUCCCACACAGAGAUUUCUUAUAUAGAGAUAUAAGGGUAUAAACCUAGAGAUAUAAGAUCAUCUGUCUAUUUGGGGGAAAAAAGUAACUACUUGCAGCAGUCUCUAAUUCGGUUGGUGCAGUUCGGGAGUUCCUUUGCCUGUGAUAUUGAUGUCUGGCAAAAGUCAUGCUCCUGAGUUGUGCCAAUUGAAUCAGAGCCUGCAGCAAAUAGCAUCUCAAUGACGUUGUUUAGUGGGAUUCAGAUGGAUCCUUUUACUGAUGUACUAAUGGUUUUAUUGAUUUGUUGUUUAGCGACUUCACUGAUUUAUUUAUUUAUUUCUAUUUUUAUGAUGAUCGAAUAGCACUCGAUCUCACGGAUUAAUUAAUGAACAUUUAUUGCCUUGCCGCUCUUGGCGUUCUUAUUAGGCAACAGCUGAUUAGCUACUCCUCUUACUACACGUCGCUUACGUAGCCAACACCUAGAUUUGGCUCUAUCCAAACUUUUGGUAAUUUCUGUUCACCUAAAUGCAUUAAAGAAAAAUGAGGAUUAUAGAAGGUGGUGUUUUCAAUUUACAAUAUUAGUUUUUAAUUUCAGUUUUCUGAAAUAUUUGAUUUAUUUUAAUGAAUAUGUUACUUUUUCAUUUACAUUUACAACUUUUCAAUUUAGUUUUCCAUUUCACGACAAUGCUUGCAUGUAUUGAAAAAGAAGAUAAUUAACUUAAGAAAUCAACAUAUUUUUUCCAAUCCCAUUUUUUAUUCUUUUUUCUUCCCGCCCUUCACAAAUUCUUAGAUAGUUCUGUAAUAAGUAAUUAUUAUAGAUUGUUGCAUUGUUGGAGAAGUUUUUAAAAAUAUUUAUGACCAUUUGUCAUUGCUAUAGAUUGCAUACUAGACCAAAAAAAGGUUUUGCCAUAAUGGGUUGGAUACUCUUACGAGUUGUUUUGUUGGACGUAGUAGGAUUCCAUCUUUUCUUUUUCUUUUUUUGUGCGUGAGUGCAGCGGAGACACAUGUUUAUGUAUAUGGUGUUGAACCUAACAUCUAACAUUGACAAAUAUUCUAAAAACUUCAAUCUACAUCCCCUUCUUCAGUCCCAAUAUGGUUGAAAUAUCUUGCUUCUUCUCUGUCUCAAUCUACAUCCCCUUACGUCAAGCGUUCGAGCAAAUGUGCCCCUACAUUCUUCUCUCACCCCCUCACUGUAUUAUUGAGUUUUUAGUUCUGUAUCUAUCAUCAUUUCGUUCGUUUAAAAUCUAUCUACGUAAUGAUCUUUGCAUCAUUUCUAAUAUUUAUAUUUUUUUUGGCAUAUUGCAUUGUGCUUAUGUGAUCGUGAAAUCAAUCACUCUAUUCCAUGAGUGUUAAUCUUGCUUCUGAUCGACAUGUCUUAUUCAUGGAGUAUGUUCAGUUGAUUUAGCAAGUCUUUCUCCUCAACCCCAUCUUAAGUGUCAUUGAUUUUUUGUUUUCACCAGAUUUAUUUCAUGGACCCAAUUUUAGCUGGUCCAUUUUUUGCAGCGUUAGCAUUUAUCUUUUCUACUUAAUAGUAUAUGGAAUGAAAAUUAACUACCUAAUCCUAAUAUUAGUAGAAUAUCUAGGAUGGAAAUCAUAUUAUUUUUUAUUUUUGACUAGGUACAGAUUACAGUAAUUUUACAAAAUCCACUCUACCUAGUAAAUCUGUUCCAGCUAUAUAUCUCCACCCUUCUCUUCUACAAGCCAUCCUCACAGCUCAGACCCGCACCUUUCUACUUCUCUCACGCGCAGAUUUCUUGUAUAGAAAGAUGAGGGCAUAACCUAGAGAUACAAAGGUGGUCUGCCUAUUAGUUGGAAAGAAAUUUCACGACUUGCAGCAGUCUCUAAUUUGCUUGGUGCAGCUCGGGAGUUCCUUUGCCUUGGCAAAUGAUGUCUGGCAAAAGUUAUGCUCCCGAGUUGUGCCAAAUGAAUCAGAGCCUGCAGUGAAUACCAUAUCAACAUUUUUGUGUAGUGAGAUUCUGAUUGAUCCUGUUACUGAUGGUUUUAUUAGUUUGUGAUUUAGUGACUUUAAUGAUUAAUUUAUUAAAACUUUAAUGAUGAUCGAACAGCAGUAGAUCUGAUCAUUUUAAUUAAUGAGCACGUGUUGCCUGGCUGCUCUUUGCGAUCUUUAUCGAGCUAAAGCUGAUUUGGCAAUUCCUGUUCAUUUAAAUGCAGUAAAGAAAAAUGAGGGAUCAAAUAAAACGGUUGUUUUAGCUUUGAAUUUACAAUCUUUUGAAACGUUUAAUCUAUUUUUAAUGAAUAUGUUACUUUUUCUUAUAAAUUUAGCGCUUUUCAAUUUUGUUUUCCAUUUCUUGGCAGUAUGUGCUUGUACUGAAAAAGAAGAUAGUUGACUUCUAUGGAAAUCAAUUAUAUUUCUUUCUAAUUCCUUCUUUUUUUCUGCCUGCCUUUGGCAAAUUCUUAGAUUCUUCUGUGUCUCAGAAGAAAUUAUAGAUUCUUGUAGUCUUUGAAAAGUUUUUGAAAAUGUGUAUGGGUAUUUAUGAUUGCUAUAGAUUGCACCAUUUAGCAAAUAACUUUUGGCAAAAUGGGUUGAAUACUCUUACUAGUUUUUGUUGGAUGGAUUAGGAUACCAUCUUUUCCUUUUAUUUGUGUGCGCACAGCAGAAACACAGGUUCGUGCAUUUGGUGUUCAACCUGACAAUUAACAUUGAUAAAUCUUUUGGAAACGUCAAUCCAUAUCCCCCUUUUCAGUCUCAAUAUGGUUGAAGGAUCUUGCUUUUACUAAGGCUUUUUUGUUCUUAAUAGUAAAUGGCAACGUGAAAGUGCAUAUCGCAUUUCAAUCUUUGCAUUCACAUCUCCAGUCAUUUACCUUUAUUAUUAUUAUUAUUAUUAUUUUUGCAUCGCUGCAUUUGAUGUUGUCCAUUUUAAUGGUUGCCAAUUUUGAAGGGAAAAAUAUGUUCUGGCCAAUGAAAUUUUUAUUUGUUUGUGUGACUUAAAAGCAAUCUUUGUUUACCAUCUUCUCCUAUUUACUCUCUGAACUUUUAUCCAAUGUGGCCUUACUUAUUAUUUGUAAAAUUUGGUCAAAAUAAUUUCUUUAGCUCUACAAUUAAUUCAGAUUUAAUUGUUGAUAACAAUUAGUUGCAUGAUCUGCUGAGAAGUGGAGACCCAUAACUCCAUCCAAUUUGAGAAGUAAACGCGUUUAUGUAGUUGUGACGAGUUCUCUUGAUUAGGUUACCAUGGCCCAUAGUAAACCUGGGACAUGUUGGGGUUCCAGUGCCUGAAAUAUAGUGUAUUUGUCGGCAUGUUCAUAUGUACAAUGUACGUAGUUGGACUCAACUAAAUGUAUAUAGUGUGCAAAAGUAUGUAAUUUCCUUUAUGUAUAUAGUGUGCAAAAGUAUGUAAUUUCCUUUUCUAUUUUGGUUUCAGGCAAAAAUUUCAACCUCGUGACCACGAAGCUUAAGGUGGUUUAAUGCCAUCAUGACAUUUUCUUUGGCAUGUUGUCUACAUGGACAACCCUUGUUAUAUCUCAUUGUAAUUCUAUAGAGAUAACCAUUUAGAGAAGGAAAUCUUUAUGUUUCAUAUGUUCUUAGAGCAGUCCUAAUUCCUUGAGAAAUUAUCACUUUUAAUAUCAUUUCCCAAGUUCAAUUUCUAUUUCUAAAGUUGUACUUCAUCGUAUUCACUAAUCAAAUCAAUUUAUGUCUCUCGAGU